AAACACACAUCUGCAAUGUUCAUCUAAAAACAGAGUUUUUAUUUCAUCUGCAUCAGGUGAUCUUUUAUUGAUGAGUGAAUGUUUAUAAAUGAUAUAAAGAAUUGUAAAAUAAGGUGAUAAAGUUUGAAUCCACUGAGCUUCUUUUUGCUGGAUUUUAUUAACAGACAUUAACAAAUAUUUUCUGCCACCUUUAUUUAGAAGAUUUUUCCAUUUUAAGCUCCCAGAUGGAAAAUCUAAUUAUUUUUAUGGAAUAUCUAAUUAUUUUUAUGGAAUAUUAUAAACUGAGAAAUAAAAUGUCAACAAAAAAGCAGGAAUCAAAUUAUUCAUCUAGUUUAUAAAUUCAUCUACACAAAACUCCACAGAGUGCAGCUCCAGAAGUUACUUUACAGACAAUAAAUAUAGAAAACCCUUCAUUUGACCCCAGAGAUGCUAUUGAUGACAUCAUGAACCUAUACAGGAACAGGAAGUGCUGCGUUGGCCCCGCCCACACACCCAUCCUGAAUGCAUGAUCUGAACAAAGGAGCAAUCGAAGAUGUUCUGUUUCUGGUUUGACGGUGAACUCGGCUGGGUUCGGUUCUACAGAUCUCUGAUCAGUUUCUCUGGACUCUGCUGCCGUCCGGAGACUCACUAGAGACAGCCAGCCCUGGACUCUGCUGCGCCAGAACACACGUGCAGCGGCGCCAUCCGCCAUGAAUCCAUUAGGAUCACACUUGGUUGGAGAAACUGAGGCGUUGUUUCUUUCACACAUCCACUGAGUGCCAUGAAGACUCACCGUCACUGCGGUCGGUCCUGGAGGCUCCGCUCAGCGCCGCUCAGCGCCUUUCUAAUUCUGUUCCCUUCUGCUGACCUUUGACUCGUCUGAAUAAAGUUCAUCAAGAUCUAAUGCAUCGACAUGCAGACAGCGUAGCGGUAAAGUCUACAUCCUCUCAGUUAAAGCUGAACUCAUCUCUGAAGUCUGAACUUUCCAUAAACCUGGAGGAGGGGCAGCGCAGAUGUGAAAAGCAUCAAAGUGCAUCAACUGGGGGUGAACGACAAGGACGGAGACGGAGAGAUGAGAAACCCAAAGAGACAGCUGAAUGAGAAGGCAAACAAAGAGCAGGCUGGAGUAUGAAGAUCCACUGGUGGAAGAAACGCUGAGUGGUUUUUAGUGAAACAGCUCAUCUCUGUUACAGCUUCUACAGGCCAAGGAAGAGUUCUUCUGUUUUUGCCUUUUUGUCAUACUUAAAGGCAACAACAUCAAAAACAUUUCAUGAAUAACCCAAGUUGAUGCAAACAUGAAACAGUGUUCAGUUCCUAGACGAAUCAUGAAUUAACUGAUUAACCACGUUUUACCUCAUGAAUCCCAAAGUGGGCGUAAGAGUCAAAGUAGUAGUCCCGUGACGUCAUCUCGUCUGGGUUGAGGAACUUGGCCAUCUUGCCCCGGCCGGGGCAGCUGGGCAGGCCGGCGGCGUGGGGGGUGUGAGGAGGCAGAGCGGGCCGAGACGCAGGCUGGACAGAAGGCACAGGCUUGGGCAGCGAGGUCGGCUGCGCUGACUGAGACGGAAUAAUGCGGACGGGUCCCGGCUGGGACUGAGGCUGCUUCAAAAAACAAGAGAAGAAGACAAACGUUUCUUCAAGACGGAGAACAACAGACAACCUUUUGAUGAGUUCAUCAAGUACUGAGAGAAAACAGGAGCAGCUUUCCUGAAGUGCGUCAGUCUGCAGCAGCAGGCAGAACGUUCUGCAGCCACGAUGCUGCGACUGGCAGCCGGACAGGAGGAGCUGCUUUAAGGACAAAUCUGGACAAACAGAGACAACGCAUCCCAGAACAACCCAGAAAGCUCCUCUGCUGUUUGUUCUCAUUCCAACUUCCAGGCGUCUAAAAAUACAUGAAAAAAACCCAAAACAUAUAUUUGGCAAGAUGGAGUUUACAUGACUAACAGUGAGGCUUCAGCCUCUCAGCAGAGGAACUUAAAUCUCCUUUUCAAAGGAAGGAAAACAUUUUCCACCUACUUCCUCUGAUCUUUGGAGUUGUUCCAUCUUAAGCUAAAGUAUUUUCUGAGUCGUUCUUCCAGCAGCAUAAAAACAGGAAAGCUAUAAAGAUGGAAUUAUCUAAAUGAUCUUUUUUACUGAACACCUGAAUAAUGAGAGAGUUUUCUUCAAUAUUUUCCAAAUGUAGAACUUUCUGCCUUACUGGUAGAAUCACCUCUGAACUCUGAGUUGGCUGGUUUUGGUUUUCUUCUCUCAGUAGUUUGCUCUAUUUGGGUCAGGCUUGUUGGCUCCUUUAAGCUCCGCCUACAAACUUUCUCUGGUCCUGAGCUCAGGUCGGCAUGCUGGCCUCUCCAGACGUGGACUUUAUUGUCCAGAAGCCAUUUUGGCUCCAUGCUGAGUCCAACCUGGUCUUUACAUCCCUGGAUGAUGAUUUUUAGAUAUUGCUUCAACAUUUUCACAGACUGUUCUUCCUUCAUGAUGCCAUCUAUUUUAUGAAGUGCACCAGUCCCUCCAGCAGCAAAAUGUCCAAUGGGGUUUUUCCCCCAAAAUGACCUGUUCCACUUCCACAUGUGGAACUAAAUUGUGUUUGAAGCAUCAUGUUGCAUUUUAUCCAACUUUUCCAUCAUAAUUCUCCAGCAGCAGAAGCUAGACGGUCAAUCUGGACAUAAACUACGGCUGAAAUGAUAAUGCUGAAGUGAUGAAAGCCGUCUGAGUCAGUGAACGCAUCGCAUCUCAACCGACCACUCCUGGUCCAACUCCACAUCCAAACAGAACCGGAUCAGAAGCUGAAGCUCCACUAAAGGCCCCUGCUGUUAGCUGUUAGCUUUAUCAGCUUCCUUCGUCUGCUGACCAUCUGAUGACCAUCUGCUGACCUUGCUGUUGCUCUCAGCAACUUUACAAUCCACCUAGAGACGGCGGCCAUCUUUACUGGAGUAAACGGAGUGCUGCUGAGUGGCAUCUACUUUCCUCUUCUGUGCAUGAGGGUUGCGUUGGGAUUGUUAAUCACAGAAGUCUGAUUGUGGUUACAUCAUUCAUUAGUAUGAACAACCAUUAAAAAAAAUAAUCUGAUUUCAACAAAAUCAGAGUUGAGCAUCAGGACCGGCUGUGUGGACGCAGCCUUACAUCAGCGUACAGCAGCCACUCUGAUCAGAUCCACAGCAACAGACAUGUUUUAAUCAAGGACAGCAGUUAUGAAUUAAAUGUGUGAAACUGUAGACGUGGACAGCUGCUUUAGAACUAAAAUUGGUCUGAGAGGUUACAGUUUGAGUUGAGGUUGAGGGUGAACAGCUGUUCAUCAGGAGAAAUCCUGGGAUUAGAUCUGGAUUCAGAUUUUCAUGUCAGUCCUGGUUGAAGCCUGAUGCAAAGUGAUCAAUCUAUUUAAAUCAACCCAUAGGAUGUUGGAUCAGAAAGGUUUGUCAUAGGCCGUGCUGUUUCAGAUUAAACUCUGACAUCCAAGGAAAACAAAAAGACUGAUAACCAGAUAAGAGUCACUACUCAUUAAAAUGAAUCUGCUGAGUCAGAGGAUCUAAUGAGUCUGGUAGUUUUGAGGCUUUAUGGUGCGAUCCGUUGAGUGGAGCCAGAGGAGAGCAGCUGUAGAAACAGACAGAGGAAGGUGGAACAAUCUGCCUUUGACCCUCAGAACAGAUAAACACAUUUAUGCUUCUAUUUCUGACUCAGCGCUGCAGAGAGGUGAGGCUGGUUAUCUGAGAAGGGCAGUUCUGUCCGUUCUUCUCUUACACAACACAGAACCUCAUUCUGCCUGUUAAAGUUGGUCUAAUUUAAAACCACAGACAUUCUGACACGGUAAAUGAUGAUGAUCUGUGGAUCAGUCUGGCUUUAGAUCAGAUUUCAAUCAGUUUUCUACAUAAAGCUCAGAGGUGAUCAGACGGCUUCACAUUUUCCUCAUUUUGUCACUUUACAACCAAAAAGCUCAACAUGCUUUGAUGAAAUUUAACAACACAGAAAAUCAGGAGCUGAGAAUCUGAAGGGAAAUAUAACGUUUCUUUUUUCCCAUUCUUCUGUCUGAAAGGAGAGAAAUUAACAGUCUUUCAGAUUGACUGGACUUUGACUAGGCCUUUUAAACACAUUGUGAUCUACACCAUCUGUAACACUGUUUCUAUUUUUAGAUGUUUGAUUGAACAGAUCUUUGUGAGAUUUUCCAGAUUUGAUCAUUUUAAGAUGUUUGUCUGUAAGAAGUGUAUCAUUUUCCUUCCACUUAAUAAUUUGCUCUACUUCUUGUUAACCUCUCACAGGGUUUGUCAACCUGUGGUUCCGGAGCUGCUAGUGGCUCUUUGAACUUUCCACAAUGGCCUUUCAUAACUUUGACUGAGAUUAUUAAAAACAUUUUCUUUUAAUGUAGCUGUAAUAAGAAUAACAUGCAUUUGUAAAACAUAACUCUUUUAUAUAUAUAUAAUUUUCCAAGACACAUAAAAUGUAUCCACCCU